rnacentral:ncRNA from 2 species
UAGAGCCGUCAGGGGAGUCUCGCCAAAGAGACUGAGAGGCUACUAGCGAGCGAUUCGCGGCGUAGCGACCCUUAGAACCUGACCCAGUUGAUACUGGCGUAGGAAGACGGGCCGCUGAUGCU